UCAAACUUGGUCAUUUAGAGGAAGUAAAAGUCGUAACAAGGUUUCCGUAGGUGAACCUGCGGAAGGAUCAUUACUGAGUUAUGGGAAUCUUUUUGGUAGUCUUCUCGACUGCUGAACUGGUUCUUUGAUUCUCUUCACCCUUUGUUAUUAUUUAUCAGUUGCUUUGGUAGCUACCGACUUCGGUUGGUCUACCAAGGGUUUACUUUAACUACUUGUUUUACAGUAUCACUGGCAAUUAGUCUGAUUUUUAAAAUAAUUUUUUAAAACUUUCAACAAUGGAUCUCUUGGUUCUGGCAUCGAUGAAGAACGCAGC
rnacentral:misc_RNA from 1 species